UACGGAGGGGACUAGCGUUGUUCGGAAUUACUGGGCGUAAAGCGCACGUAGGCGGAUUGUUAAGUCAGGGGUGAAAUCCCGAGGCUCAACCUCGGAACUGCCUUUGAUACUGGCAAUCUCGAGUCCGGAAGAGGUGAGUGGAAUUCCUAGUGUAGAGGUGAAAUUCGUAGAUAUUAGGAAGAACACCAGUGGCGAAGGCGGCUCACUGGCCCGGUACUGACGCUGAGGCGCGAAAGCGUGGGGAGCAAACAGG
rnacentral:rRNA from 1 species